rnacentral:lncRNA from 7 species
GGGAAGAGGCCACAGAGCUGACUCCGGCCUUGGAGCCAAAGAUUGACUCGGUCCCUGAGAGAGAGGAGCCGGAGGGUACUGAGCCACCACGUGUAGCACCGGAGCAGAGCCCAGAGCUGCCAUCUGUGUGGCAAGAGGAAAGCACCAAGACUUCACCACCGGCACUGAGAGACAAUGGUGGGCCACCAGGACCAGCAGAGGACAGUGGGUUGGAGGAAGGCAGUGACAGCUUUGUGGUGGAAAUCAUCAAGAAAGUGCAUAUUGCUGAAGAGGACCAAUUCAUUGAGGGUGAGACGGGAGAACAGGUGGAAACUGAGCUGCUCAGUCAGAUAGUAAGUGGAGGGCCUGAAACAAAAGAAGAGGAAACAGGAGAAGCUGUGGAUGGUGCAGCAGCGACAGAGAUAGAGACAACGAGUAACAAAGACUAGAAGCUACGUCUGUAUGAACAUCCUCUUCUUGGGCCAGCCCUUCUGUCCACAUAGAAGCUUUUUAAUUAUGCUGCAUUGGAAAAAUAGAGCUUUUAUAGACGGAGCCACGAACCAGAAUAAGAAACAUCAAAAGAGGUUUUAUAUAAUAUAUAUGUUAUUGAAGUCGAGCUGCCAGGACUUCAAGUGUUUGAAAUACCUGGUACCUCCUUGACCUGGCACCUCCCUGCCACAGAGUGCCUUCCGUACAUCGCCAGCACAGCGGGAUGAUUCCGACAGAUGUAUAACCAUCCAGUUUUCCAUUAGGAGUCUUUCCAGGUUCUAAGUUCAAACCUCUGAAACCUUCAGCAUUACAUAGGAUAAAGAAUAUAGUGUAGACUGGUUUUAGUUUUAUUUUAAUGGUAGCGCAAGCAGAAAGUCAGAAAGGGAAGUCCUGCUUCUGAGAACUCCUCUACGUGCAGGCAGUCCCUCUGAGUGCCUGCACAGCCAGGUGAUGGAGCUGCUGCAGUGAGCUGCACUCAGAGGACUGGAACCCAAACUGCCUGUUUGCUGGGUGUAACUAAAUGCAAAGGUUAGUUUUUCAGGCAGUGAAAGAUACACAGUUAACCAAGUAGGUGCCUUCUGCUAACUCCAUUUUUAAACAUAUUUAUUGAAAGGAGAAAAAAAGGCAUUUUUAACCAGGAGGAGAAUGCUUUAGUCUUCUAAGAUCUGGCAUACUUAAAAUACAAAUUCACAGUUGUUAGCACGCAUGGUGAUUAAUAGGGCAUCUUUAGCGAUGUAGCUCCUAACAUAUGCUCAUGGCUUCUAAAAUAGAUACCAAACCAGUGACUUCUAUAAGCCUGUUCCCAUAGGAGAGGUCAUUGUUCCAUGCUCCAUUUCUUCAGGAGAAACACGUAUUCAGGAAUGGCGUUAUGUUCCAGAAUGCUAAGGAAGCAUUUCAGAGCUGAAGCUGAAUGACAAAACCUUCCAACAAAUUUCACAUUGAAAAGAGGCUCCAAAUACAAUUGGUGUUAAGGAUCUGAUAGAGUAGAACUUUGAUCUGAUGGUGAGUGAUGCAAAGGGACUUUGUGUUGGAGACUGUUUGGGAGACCCUCUGGCAUAAGGAAGUAGAACAUGGAAGAAAGGUCAAGCAUCUCACAAAGGCAAAUAUUGCUAUUUUUAGUAGCUUUACUGUACAAAAGGACUUCAACAAAUUUUAUUGUCAGCAGCAAAUAAUCAGUCUCCUCUGAGCUACAUUUUGUGCUGCACGUGCAUACUUGACUCCAGCUGAUCUUGGUCUGUAUUAAAUAUUUUA